UUCGAUGGUAGGAUAGAGGCCUACCAUGGUUUUAACGGGUAACGGAGAAUUAGGGUUCGAUUCCGGAGAGGAAGCCUGAGAAACGGCUACCACAUCCAAGGAAGGCAGCAGGCGCGCAAAUUACCCAAUCCUGAUACAGGGAGGUAGUGACAAUAAAUAACAAUACAGGGCUCUUCGAGUCUUGUAAUUGGAAUGAGUACAAUUUAAAUCUCUUAACGAGGAACAAUUGGAGGGCAAGUCUGGUGCCAGCAGCCGCGGUAAUUCCAGCUCCAAUAGCGUAUAUUAAAGUUGUUGCAGUUAAAAAGCUCGUAGUUGAAUUUUGGGUCUGAUUGACUGGUCUUGUCGCAAGAUAGGUACUUGUCGGUCGGAUCUUUCCUUCUGGCGAACUAUUGUGCUAUUAAUUUAGUGUGAUAGGGAUCCAGGACUUUUACUUUGA
rnacentral:rRNA from 1 species